UACGUAGGGCGCAAGCGUUGUCCGGAAUUAUUGGGCGUAAAGAGCUCGUAGGCGGUUUGUCGCGUCUGCCGUGAAAACCCGAGGCUUAACCUCGUGGCUUGCGGUGGAUACGGGCAGACUAGAGGUAGGUAGGGGAGAAUGGAAUUCCCGGUGUAGUGGUGAAAUGCGUAGAGAUCGGCAGGAACACCCAGGGGGAAACCAGCCGACUGGGCAUUGACUGACGCUGAGGUGCGAGAGCGUGGGGAGCGAUCCGG
rnacentral:rRNA from 1 species